rnacentral:tRNA from 1 species
GCCCGGGUGGCGGAACGGCAUACGCGGAUGGCUCAAAACCAUCUGUCCGAAAGGGCGUGCGGGUUCGAAUCCCGCCCCGGGCACCG